UUUUUGCACCCUUGUAAGUAGCUUCUUGGCCAAUGGAAUCAUCGGCUACUUUUUCUUCGUCCUAAGUCUGAAGAACACAGUCUAAUGCUGUGAGAAUCUUCGUGAAAUGACCAUAUUGACCUUCCUCCCGACCUAAAGGUAUGUCCGUUAAAAGUAGGAAACUAAGAACUAAUAAUAGGAGACUUGCUUGUGCAACAGAUAGGGAGAAAGUUGUCAUUUUAUCGCAAGAAAAGAGCAUCGACGGGUGGCUCCUAUCCCGGAGGCGGCCAUCAUUGCGGAUCUUUGGGCCGACCACCUCCAACAACAUCAUGAUGCGGUGGCCACCCCAUGCGAUUUCCCCGUAAUGCCCCCUUCGGCGAGCCACCCUCUCACUCUCUCCUCCCUCCUCGUUCGCUCGAAUCCCCAAAUGCAUGAUUCCUUUGCCGGCCACCAUAUGUUGAGUGUUUGUCUCUCUCUCUCUCUCUCUCUCUCUCUCCUGGUGGAGACAGAGAUGGCCAUCUUGUAUCCUAUAAAUGAGCCCAUACCGCACCCCCCGACAUCUCACUAUCCCACCCAAAUCCCUCUCAUUCGAUUCACUUCUUCGUAAAGGCCUGUGAUCCGAAAGGUGAGCACAUUGGAAGGGCAAACUCAUGCAGUCUUCGUCUUGUUAGCUUUCUCCUUCGUUGGGAUACGAUCUCUCCUCAAGGAGUUGGCGUCCGAUGAUACUUGUUUCCUUGUUGUUACUUUGAGUACAUCUCCUGGACUCACUACCACACCCAGUCUGACGUGAUCUACUCUGCUGCUGCUUGCACUUUCCCCUUAGAUACACUUUGCCUGUUGUUUCAGGCAAAGACAUGGAAAGGGUCAACACCAAGCUGUACUUGCGGAACUACUACAUUCUGAAGGAGAACGAGAGGCUGAGAAAGAAAGCACAGCUUCUCAACCAGGAAAACCAGGCUCUCUUGUCUGAGCUGAAACAGAAGCAGAAGCUGGCCAAGUCCAGUGCCACCUCCAACCCCAUUCCCAGCAUCCCUGACCUCAACACUACUCCCCCAACACCCACCAUGGGCCCCAGUGGAAGCCAGCAUCCCUGAUGAUAGGAAGACACGUCUCUUCCUCGGAACUUUUUAUUUUGGGUUUGAUGGAUUGUGGAUCCUAUACAUGCAGCUGGAUCAGUUUGCCCAACAAGCUGCAGUAGGGCAGUUUUAUGCAUUAUUUCCUCUAAAGAUCUGAAGUUCCCAAAACAAACGUUCCAUUUGAUGCACUCAUACCAAGGCUCCCGCCUCGAUUCCUGCGCCUUAUACAAUGCAGUACAAGAUAAGUUAAGAUA